CCUACGGGCGGCAGCAGUGGGGAAUAUUGGACAAUGGGCGAAAGCCUGAUCCAGCCAUGCCGCGUGUGUGAAGAAGGCCUUCGGGUUGUAAAGCACUUUCAGUGGGGAAGAAAGCCUUGGGGCUAAUACCCUCGAGGAAGGACAUCACCCACAGAAGAAGCACCGGCUAACUCCGUGCCAGCAGCCGCGGUAAUACGGAGGGUGCGAGCGUUAAUCGGAAUUACUGGGCGUAAAGCGCGCGUAGGCGGUCUGAUAAGCCGGUUGUGAAAGCCCGGGGCUCAACCUGGGAACGGCAUCCGGAACUGUCAGGCUAGAGUGCAGGAGAGGAAGGUAGAAUUCCCGGUGUAGCGGUGAAAUGCGUAGAGAUCGGGAGGAAUACCAGUGGCGAAGGCGGCCUUCUGGACUGACACUGACGCUGAGGUGCGAAAGCGUGGGUAGCAAACAGGAUUAGAUACCCCAGUAGUC
rnacentral:rRNA from 1 species